GAUGAACGCUAGCGGCAGGCUUAACACAUGCAAGUCGGAGGGGUAUAGUUCUUCGGAAUUAGAGACCGGCGCACGGGUGCGUAACGCGUAUGCAAUCUACCUUUCACAGAGGGAUAGCCCAGAGAAAUUUGGAUUAAUACCUCAUAGUAUAGCAGUUUCGCAUGAAACCACUAUUAAAGUCACAACGGUGAAAGAUGAGCAUGCGUCCCAUUAGCUAGUUGGUAAGGUAACGGCUUACCAAGGCAACGAUGGGGUAGGGUCCUGAGAGGGAGAUCCCCCCACACUGGUACUGAGACACGGCCCAGACUCCUACGGGAGCAGCAGUGAGGAAUAUUGGACAAUGGGCGCAAGCCUGAUCCAGCCAUGCCGCGUGCAGGAAGACGCAUCUAUGGU
rnacentral:rRNA from 1 species